rnacentral:sRNA from 1 species
GAUAUCAGCAGGUGGGAGCAUGCCCUUCAGGAAAGAGUAGAGGAGAACAAGUGAUCUCUUAGGCUGGAAAGAUGGAACCAGAUGUCCAGCUCCCCUCACUGAUGCUAGCGUGAAUCCUCCUUCGUACUGCUGAACAUAGCCUCCAACCUGCUAUCAGGUGUGUACCAAGGACGCCACUUAUGCGUGAUAGUCAGAUUAAGGUCCUUGACGGAGUACCUUGUCGCAGUAAGUGAGCAUAUUGAAUCCAUAUCACCACUAUAAAUCCAUACACUUAAUCCAUUUUCCACCAGCCUUUUGAUGGUUCGCACCAUGGAAUCAGGGGAAUCGUUCCAGGCCAAGUCUAGACUGAAAGAAGAAUAGAGCCUCGUGCGUGCAAUGCUUUUUGCACAUCGGGAUUGUUGAGGUAACGAGGGAUGUAGUAGUCGAUGCACGGAUCAUAGCCAGUUAUGAUCUUACAUAGCCGCUGGAUCGAAAGGUUCCAUCUUGCUCGUGGAGGCAGACCGGAGCGUAGAUGUUGUAGCGAUCUAUGUUCACUCUCUGGAACGAGUGCGCCGCCACGAAGCACGGCCAGUCGUCGGAGGAGGUGAAGGUGCAGUUGGCGAGGAUCUUGCCCCAGACCUCGUCGGAGAUCACGCCGUGGCUCCACAGGAACUCCAGGUUACCCUCCCCGUUCUUGUACUCAUCAAGCAGCGGAUUGCCAA